rnacentral:rRNA from 1 species
UACGGAGGGUGCAAACGUUGCUCGGAAUCAUUGGGCGUAAAGCGCACGUAGGCGGUCUAUUAAGUCGGGUGUGAAAGCCCUGGGCUCAACUCAGGAAGUGCACUCGAAACUGACAGGCUUGAAUAUGGAAGAGGGUCGCGGAAUUCCCGGUGUAGAGGUGAAAUUCGUAGAUAUCGGGAGGAACACCAGUGGCGAAGGCGGCGACCUGGGCCAAUAUUGACGCUGAGGUGCGAAAGCGUGGGGAGCAAACAGG